ensembl:snRNA U1 U1 spliceosomal RNA
AUAUUUAUCUGGCAGUGGAUUUACCAUAAUCACAAAGAUAGUUUUCCCAGGGUGAGGCUUAUCUUUUGCACUCCAGAUAUGCUGACCCCUUCGAUUUUCCCAAAUGUAGGAAACUCAGCUGCAUAAUUUGUGGUAGUGGGGGACUGUAUUCCUGCUCUCCCUUG